CGUCGCAUCCAAGGCGCAGUUCCUCUGAUCAGCGAGCGAAGGGGCUCUCCCACUGCGCCAGUCUCCUGUCCUCUGAACCACGGGUCAGUCCUUGCUUGAUGGAGGGAGGCAACAGGAUGGGAUGUGACAUUUUGGUUGGAAAGGCUUCAGAAUUCAAAGCAGCUGUGGGUAAAAACCACCUGGAAAGACAUUCUCUGGAUCAGAUUUCUUUUGAAACCUCAACCUAGCAUUUGUUUCCAAUUGUUAGUUUGCGAAAACCCCCAAAAGGUGCUAGAGAUGCUUCCUUGGUCGGGCAAAAUGGGCUAAAUAUACCAGGAGAUGCUGUUCAAAUGUUUAUGGGUCUUGCUCAGAGGGUAGCCUUUUUUAACUUUGCUAAGGUUUACCACAGAUGACCAUGUAUUUCCCCAUGCUUCCUCUGGG